rnacentral:sRNA from 1 species
UAACACAUUCAGGAAGAAAGCAGAAAGUUCACUAGCCCAGGUUGAGCCUAUCUAGACCUAGUGGGACAAGGUUGAGCCUAUCUUGACCUAGUGUGACAAGGUUAGCCUAUCUAGACCUUGUGUGACAAGGUUGAGCCUAUCUAGACCUAGUAGGAAAAGAUUGAGCCUAUUUAGAUAUAGUGGGACAAGGUUGAGCCUAUCUAGACCUAUUGGGAGAAGGUUCAGCUUAUCUAGACCUAGUGGGACAAGGUUAAGCCUAUCUAGAUCAAGUGGGACAAGCUGGAGCCUAUCUAGACCAAGUGUGACAAGCUUGAGCCUAUCUAGACCUAAUGGGACACUGCCUCUAGGAUUAGUUGCUGCCUCAUAAUGUUGUCUUCUGAGAUUUGAAGAGCUACACCAACUGUACAUUGGAAACAUGUUUCACUCAAUUUCAUAAUAAAAUACAGACAUGAAUCCUUGAAAACAAGCAGCUGUGUAUGUGAAGGAAUGAUACAAAAAUGAGUACAGAAUGACCUGCUCUUUAUUAGAAUCUUACUUCUGUUAGUGUAAGUGUGUCAAAUAUCCACUUUCAUUUAAGCUUAUAAAAUUGUUUUUGGUUUUCUUGUGGUGAAGGUGGGGAUGAGGGAGGAAUACAAAUGAAAAUAAAAUUGCUUUUUAACACAAAUUUCAGGUGAACACUAGGUAUUACAGGUGUAACAAUGGUUGAUGUAUUCACAUGUACCGAAAAAAUCACAAUAAAAAGAAGAAUGAAGAAGUUUAAAAUAUUAAUUCCUAGAAGAAACCAUGCACAAGUAGUAUACAAGAAAGUAUAAAUUGUCAUUUUUACAUUAAAAGAAUUUUCUAAUGAGUAUCAUCCCUUGAAAAAAAGUUUCAUCAAAAGUAUAAGACAGUGCUCAAAGUUUACACAAAACUAUUUAACAAGGAAACUGUUCAACUGCAUAACAUCACAUGAUUGAAAAUAUGACAAUAUCAGCAACAAAAUCAAAUAAAACUAAGAAUUUUGUCGUUUAGUUUUAAAAUCCAUCAAGUUUUAUAACAACAAAGUUGAAGCAGAAAGGCAUUCAUGCUGUCAGCUGUCUCUCAGAUGUCUCCCUAGUUUGUAGCAUCACAUUCAUAAUACACGUGUGUAGCAUCACAUAUUCAUGAUAGACUCAUGUAGCAUCAUAUUCGUGAUAAGACUCAUGUAGGAUCACAUUCAUGUUUGACUCAUGUAGCAUCACAUUCAUUAUUGAAUCAUGUAACAUCACAUUCAUGAUUGACUCAUGUAACAUCACAUUCAUGAAAAGGCUGUUAACCAUAAGAUAUGGAUGUAACUCGGUGGUAGUUCUCAUACAUUGUGCCACAAAAAUAUCACAUUCACAGCAGAGCUAUAAGAAACAGCAGAAUACUUUGUUUUUUUCUAAUGUCAGUCAAAGAGCUCAUAGUAACUUUAUAUGACAGAAUUUUUAAAAAAUAAUGUAGAGUCGAUUCAAUAUAAAAAUGUUUAUUAUCAGAAGCCCACGCCUCCUAAGAGUAACUUCCUUAACCAGAAUCAAGAGCAUGAAAUAGAAGAUUUUCAAAAUAUCUAAUGUAAGAUUAACUUUAUGGAAUGAUUUUGAGUCAAAUAAUGCAUUUAUUUUUCCCUGAGAAAGAAAGGAUGAUGAUAUUUUAUUAGAGACUCAUUACAGUAUCUAAUUAUAAGAUCAGACAAAAGUCUUUGAAAACAUCAGUAUGUGCCCAACAAAUGAUUUUAGUUGAGCUUAUUUUGUCUCUGGAAAACACAAAAAUAGAUGAAGGCUUCAAAGUCAAAUUUGUGACUGCAAGGCAAAAAGUGCCUGGCUAAAAUUAUCAAUAAGAGUUUAGAAAUAAGUAAACAAUGUAUAUUUGAACUUCAGAACAAGAGAGCUUCUCAAGCACCAUGAGAGUUGCUGUCUCACAGUGAUCAUGUCUUAUGAGGGAGAGGGAUGAGAAGCUAAAUUCUUUUUCUCCUAACACAUACAUGCACCAUCUCACACAUACUGAAUUAUAAAGUAAAGUAGAAAAGAUA